UAAGCCCGCGCGCCACAACUACUGAGCCUGCACUCUAGAGCCCGCGAGCCACAUCUACUGAGCCUGCGUGCCACAACUACUGAAGCCCACGCGCCUAGAGCCCGAGCUCCGCAACAAGAGAAGCCACCGCAAUGGGAAGCCCGCGCACCGCAACGAAGAGUAGCCCCUGCUCGCCGCAGCUAGAGAAAGCCCGCGCAUAGCAACAAAGACCGAAUGCAGCCAAAAAAAUUUAAAAGUUCAUCCCAGAGAUAUCUUUAAAGAGAUCACAUAAUGGAGGGAGGAGAUGAACAAUCAACAAAUAAAUACAUCAAAAUGGAGAAGCAGGUUCGAUCCAUGGUCGGCGAACUAAGAUCCCACGUGCCGCAGUGCAACUAAGCCCGUGGACCACAACUACUGAGCUCAUGCGCCUCGACGAUAGAGUCUGCGUGCAGCAAACUACAGAGCCCAGGCGCCCUGGAGCCCGCGCCACAACUAGAGAGAAACCCGAGCAGACCGUGCCAUGUAACGAGAACGAUCCCGCAUGUCUCAACAAAGAUCCCCAGCACUGCAACUAAGACCCAACUCAGCCAAAAAAAGAAGAAGAAAAAUAUCUGACUGCAUAAAUGUGAAAAAUUCCAAAGGAGAAAAAAUAGGAGAAACCUAUGAAGACGCUAGGGUGGCUGCAAAGAUUAAAGUCUAAUAAAUGUAAGUUUGUGAAUAUUCUUAAUAAAAAUGGAAAAACUUUCAAGGCAUGAUCUGAAGAAGAACAAGAGAAGGGUACGCCAGCAUCCUGGGAAGGAUGCUGUAAGGUUAGAUGAAGGCAGAACUCAUGGACUAGGUGAUCUCCAUGGUCCCGACGGUACAUAGAACUUUAUGAUAAUCGGUUUACUCAAUUUCUACCUUUGCUUCACCUUCUCUAGCAAGAAGGAUUUCAGUUUACAAACGUCAGGACAAUUAGCCUAAAUAAAGACGUUCAUCUAAUUAAGACAGGAGACAAGGAGAGGGCCAUCCCACCUUUGGCCCAGGCCUCCAGAUGAAGAAGAUAUUUGGAGCAGAGCCGUGGAACAGAGCUGCAGCAGAUCCCCGGCUGCCAGGAAACCUCUAAGAGAGGUGGAGCCCUCUGGCCAUCGUAGCAGCCCACCAUGCUGCCUUUGUGCUCAGACAGCAACCAAGGUUGGAAAGGAUUCGAUUGAUUCGAACACGUUUGAAGCAAAUGAGAAUUUAAGAUGUCAUUCCUCUCAAGAGAAAUUUUACUGAACAGGGGACUCUAAAAGAUUGUAAAGCCUUGGACAAAAUUUCUGAUAAUGGAAUUUCAUACCUGUAGGAGGGAGAAAUUCGGGUGGAGUACUUUUCUAUUGCCCUCUAAUCAUACUCCGUUUAUAAUUUAAGGAAACACUAAUUUAAUGCCAACUAUGUGCAGAUACUGUUCUAUUUACAUUACAAAUGUCAACUCAUUUACUCCUUACAGC